rnacentral:rRNA from 1 species
UCCACGCCGUAAACGAUGUCAACUAGCCGUUGGGAGACUUGAUCUCUUAGUGGCGCAGCUAACGCACUAAGUUGACCGCCUGGGGAGUACGGUCGCAAGAUUAAAACUCAAAUGAAUUGACGGGGGCCCGCACAAGCGGUGGAGCAUGUGGUUUAAUUCGAUGCAACGCGAAGAACCUUACCAGGUCUUGACAUCCUGAUAACUUUCUAGAGAUAGAUUGGUGCCUUCGGGAA